UGCGGCGGCCAUGGCCCAGGGGAGACGCCCGGUCCCAUUCCGAACCCGGAAGCUAAGCCCUGGCACGGCGA
rnacentral:rRNA from 1 species